AUUGAACGCUGGCGGCAGGCCUAACACAUGCAAGUCGAGCGGUAACAGGAAGUAGCUUGCUACUUCGCUGACGAGCGGCGGACGGGUGAGUAACGCGUGGGUAACCUGCCCCAUACAAAGGGAUAGCCACUGGAAACGGUGAUUAAUACCAUAUGAGAUCGUAGAGUCGCAUGACUUAGCGGUUAAAGAUUUAUCGGUAUGGGAUGGACCCGCGUCUGAUUAGCUAGUUGGUAAGGUAACGGCUUACCAAGGCGACGAUCAGUAGCCGACCUGAGAGGGUGAUCGGCCACACUGGAACUGAGACACGGUCCAG
rnacentral:rRNA from 1 species